rnacentral:sRNA from 1 species
ACCAGCUUGAGAUUGAUCCGCUAUUUAUGCACAACCUUUCGAAGUAUUUCCGUAAUUCCUCGUCCUGUUUUUCAUAAGUAAAAGUAAAAGAUCGCGCAUAAACAGCCUGAAUUAAGGCUAAUUAUUUAUUUAAAAUAGGAUGACAAACAUGUCUACUACUACUGGCACUGUUAAAUGGUUUAACGAAGAAAAAGGUUUUGGUUUCAUUGAGCAGCAGUCUGGUCCAGACGUUUUCGCUCAUUUCUCUGCAAUCCAGGGUGAUGGCUUCAAAACUCUUGCUGAAGGUCAGCAAGUUGAGUUUUCUGUAACUCAGGGCCAGAAAGGUCCACAGGCUGAAAACAUUCGCCCUGUAUAAGUUCAGUUUACUUCUUUUAAUUCUCUGAAUUAAAAGCGAGAAGAGUAUGAUCAACUCAUACUCUUCUUU